rnacentral:rRNA from 1 species
CCUACGGGUGGCAGCAGUGGGGAAUAUUGCACAAUGGGGGAAACCCUGAUGCAGCGACGCCGCGUGAGUGAAGAAGUAUUUCGGUACGUAAAGCUCUAUCAGCAGGGAAGAAAAUGACGGUACCUGACUAAGAAGCCACGGCUAACUACGUGCCAGCAGCCGCGGUAAUACGUAGGGGGCAAGCGUUAUCCGGAUUUACUGGGUGUAAAGGGAGCGUAGACGGCAGCGCAAGUCUGGAGUGAAAUCCCAUGGCUUAACCAUGGAACUGCUUUGGAAACUGUGCAGCUAGAGUGCAGGAGAGGUGAGCGGAAUUCCUAGUGUAGCGGUGAAAUGCGUAGAUAUUAGGAGGAACACCAGUGGCGAAGGCGGCUUACUGGACUGUAACUGACGUUGAGGCUCGAAAGCGUGGGGAGCAAACAGGAUUAGAUACCCCGGUAGUC